AGGUGAACAUGGCAGCCGAAGUGAAACAUAAUUUUAUCGUGCUCUUAUUAUUGUUUUUAUUCACCAACGUCAAACACGUAGCUGCUUACUACUGUGGAUGGGAUUUAUGUGGUCCAGGACAGUACUGUUGUGGGGAGGAUCUAUGCUGUGAAUAUAUUCUAUUCAUCCUGGUACAUCUGG